GACGAACCGUGCGAACGUUGUUCGGAAUCACUGGGCUUAAAGGGCGCGUAGGCGGGUCGGCCAGUCUGUGGUGAAAUCCCCCGGCUUAACCGGGGAACGGCCGCGGAUACUGCCGACCUCGAGUGGGGUAGGGGCGUGCGGAACACUAGGUGGAGCGGUGAAAUGCGUUGAUAUCUAGUGGAACUCCGGUGGCGAAAGCGGCGCGCUGGACCCCGUCUGACGCUGAGGCGCGAAAGCCAGGGGAGCGAACGGG
rnacentral:rRNA from 1 species